GCAGGUGAGAACAGGGCAGGUGGGUCUGCAGGUGAGAACAGGGCAGGUGGGUCUGCAAGUAGGACUGGGGCAGGUGGGUCUGCAGGUAGGACGGGUGCAGGUGGGGCCCUGACAGGUGGGUCUGCAGGUGGAGCCUUGGCCGGCACCCACGUCCUGUGUGCAUGGCCAGGCUACCUGACGUGAGGCCACUGCUGAUUACACCGCUUGUGACAUGUUCUAUUUUUAUGAUUCCCUUUCUAGUGUUAAAGAACUUUUAAAGGAAUUUUCCACUUUGAUAUUCAGAGUGAAGUCUAGGGAAAUGUUUCCCGAGAUAACUGUGCCGCUCUGGUUUGCUGCUCUGCAUCUAACAGCCCACAGCCCUUUCUCUUAAUAGUACUCUUCCUCCUGGGCACUUGGCUCUUAGUCUGAUGGAGCCAUCAAAAUGACAGUCCUGUCAGUUAAACAGGCGUCAGCCUCCUCUGCUUGGUGUCUUGUGCAAAGAAACGAACAUCGAACUAUCCAGGGCCCUUCAGGACCCUGCUCCCCUACCAGGAGCCCCCGUACCUCCUUCACCCCUGCUUCUCCUCAGGCCCCGGGGGAAUUCUUUAAAGAUGAUGACUAUGGGAAGGACACUGGUGCUGAUAACAGCAAGAGCACAUAACCCUUAUCCUUCUGUUCUGAUGCAGACCAAACUGUCAUUUAGUCCAUCCGCCCAAUGAACUUCAGUAGAUCUGGGUGUGACAGACUAGCUGGGUCUGUUCCUGACGACAGCACUUCUGCGCCUAAGCGUGCAUCCUCAUUUGAUGUCAGUCUUCUCAAUGUGUGUCUGCAGAACACUCUCACCCCAAGCUAGGUCCCUUCCACCAUCAUGCACCAGGACCCCAGUGCCCUGUCCACCAUGUCUGUUCUUCCCAGCAUCCUUUGCUUUGGUGCAGGACACUCCACUAAAUCUGUGUUUUAAAGGUGAGUGCCUGCCUGGGCCAUGACCACUGGGGCUGGAGCUGGGCCUGGACCGUGGGAAGCAGAGGAGGGUCCGCAUAUGGUCCUAGGCCAGGGCACCGGGGGCAAAGCCAUCUUCUCUGCUAUCACCGUGGGGGUGGCCAAGGCCAUCAGUGAGGUGUGGGGGUUGUGGAUCCAACCUCCCUUCUUCAUCUGGGGAGUCUCUUCCAGCUGAUAGUACCACACAGGACGUGGUACCUGUGACUUCAGAUUGAGAACAUCAGUGUUCACUGGGAUGCUCAUCUUGGCUGAGUGGGAUAGCCCUUGCCCACGACCCCCCAAGGCACUGGAGGGCUUUUCAACCAGCAGGUAUGGACACAGCAUCCCUGGCUCCCAGGUAAGACUUGGGGCGCGACACCUACCACAGUAAGGCUCCCUCCUCCCUCCCUAGUGGUGUGUGCUGUGCGUGUGAGCGCUGCAUAACCACAGGCGUCCCGGACAAAGGUCAUGUUCUUCUUAAAGGUGAUAAAAACUUACUCCGGCAUCGAGUCGACGACUUCUGAGCACUUAUGUAACUUUUCUGUGUACUGAAUGAUCAGCCAUUGUGUGCACACUGGAGGCCCUCAGAUUCUCAGGGCCAGCAUUCUCUUUGUCCCCCAUGUCACCAGAAGAGCGGGUGCAAAGUUCAGAAAUGACAAUGGCAUUCUCACCAGGGCUGACACGAGAAAGCUCCUUUCCUCCCAGGAACACAGUGUGUGUAUGCUGGGGUUCAAGGCUGCAGACCAAAGUGUUUUGUUUUGAGUCAGGUACUAAGUGUUAGUUCCGGUGAUGGAGCAGCAGUGAGGAAGUUAGGAGUCUAGCUGCAGUGCCAGGAGGUAGUUCACCUGGCAGAGUGCAGACAUUGGCACGCAUGAGGCCUGGCUGCGGUUCAAGUCCCCAUACCAGGCGCAAGCAACCCCCUCCCCAGAAGCUUCAUGGAUGGUGGAGAGGUGUUUCUUUCCCUCUCUGUAUCUGAAGUUUACAAAAGAAGGAAAAUGUUGGCCUGAAACAUGUGGUGAGCCUCGCAUUAAGAAAAUCAUUCCAUAACAACAAUAAUAACUGCAAUAAAACAAGGGCAACAAAAAGAAA